UACGGAGGGUGCAAGCGUUAUCCGGAUUUACUGGGUUUAAAGGGUGUGUAGGCGGGCCAUUAAGUCUGUGGUGAAAUCUCCGGGCUCAACCUGGGAAUGGCGAUGGAUACUGGCUCGCUAGAGUGCGGUAGAGGAGAGUGGAAUUCCCGGUGUAGCAGUGAAAUGCGUAGAGAUCGGGAGGAACAUCAGUUGCGAAGGCGGCUCUCUGGACCAGCACUGACACUGAGGCACGAAAGCGUGGGGAGCAAACAGG
rnacentral:rRNA from 1 species